rnacentral:rRNA from 1 species
GACGAACGCUGGCGGCGUGCUUAACACAUGCAAGUCGAACGGGAGUAUUGAAGAAGCUUGCUUUAGAGAUACUUUAGUGGCGGACGGGUGAGUAACGCGUGAGGAGCUGUCCUAUGCAGGGGGACAACAGUUGGAAACGACUGCUAAUACCCCAUAAGCCGAGAGGUAAAAGGAAUUAUCCGGCAGAGGAGGUACUCGCGUCCUAUCAGCUAGUAGGUGAGGUAACGGCUCACCUAGGCGGAGACGGGUAGCCGGCCUGAGAGGGCGAACGGCCACACUGGAACUGAGAUACGGUCCAGACUCCUACGGGAGGCAGCAGUGGGGAAUAUUGGGCAAUGGGGGCAACCCUGACCCAGCGACGCCGCGUGGGUGAAGAAAUCCCUCGGGAUGUAAAGCCCUGUUGUAUGGGAAGAGCAGAAGACGGUACCAUACGAGGAAGCCCCGGCAAACUACGUGCCAGCCGCCGCCGUAACAC